rnacentral:rRNA from 1 species
GCUUCAUUCAAAUAUCUGCCCUAUCAACUUUCGAUGGUAGGAUAGUGGCCUACCAUGGUUUUAACGGGUAACGGGGAAUAAGGGUUCGAUUCCGGAGAGGGAGCCUGAGAAACGGCUACCACAUCCAAGGAAGGCAGCAGGCGCGCAAAUUACCCAAUCCCGACCGGGGAGGUAGUGACAAUAAAUAACAAUAUAGGGCUCUAUUGGGUCUUAUAAUUGGAAUGAGUACAAUUUAAACCCCUUAACGAGGAACAAUUGGAGGGCAAGUCUGGUGCCAGCAGCCGCGGUAAUUCCAGCUCCAAUAGCGUAUAUUAAAGUUGUUGCAGUUAAAAAGCUCGUAGUUG